AUUUAAAUAGCUUAAAUUUAAAGCAUAAUAUUGAAGAUAUUAAAAUAAUAUAAAAAUUUUUAAAUA
rnacentral:tRNA from 1 species